GCACUGGUGGCUCAGUGGUAGGGGUUUCUAGCCUACUAUGCAGAAGGCCUGGGUUCAAUUCCCAGCCAGUGCC